GUAACCUUUGAGUAAAUCUAGGAGGGGCAUGACAGAUGAGAGAUUGUUCUGAUUAAGCAAGGCACAGAAAGCAACUGCAAAGUGAGAAGCACCCUGGAGAAAUACACAUCUGUAUGCUACUACUUUCAGGCAUGUUACUGAAAAAACAUGGUCAGUACAAAAUAGUUUGGACCUGAUGUGAUUUAUCAGCAUAUCUGAAGCAAGCAGAUUUUCCUUGACCAAAAGCCAAGAUGAGGCAGGGGACAAGUCCAUAUCACUCCUAUAUUGUGGAAAGGGCCAAAGGAGUUGGUUAUUUUUGAGACAGCCUGACACACUGGCUGUCCUGCAAUUCACUGUUAUGCAAGCUAGCAAAAAUAAAGUGCAAGAGGUGGCUGCAUGCAUUACUGACACUAGGACAUCCCCUGUUUUAACAUUGCGAAGUUGAAAUUUGUAGCAUAAGACAAGGGAGUAAUUUAGUACUGUUCCUGGUACGAAAAUUCAAACACCGCUUCAUAUGAAGUACUCCAUCUGCUCUUGCAGUGAGUACUUGCUAUUCACUUCUAUGCAGAGCCCGACGUAAA